rnacentral:rRNA from 1 species
UACGUAGGGACCGAGCGUUGUCCGGAAUCAUUGGGCGUAAAGAGCGUGUAGGCGGCCCCUUAAGUCCUGCGUGAAAUCCUGCGGCUCAACCGCAGACGGUCGUGGGAAACUGGAGGGCUAGAGUGCGGGAGAGGAGAGUGGAAUUCCCGGUGUAGCGGUGAAAUGCGUAGAGAUCGGAAAGAACACCAACGGCGAAAGCAGUCUGCUGGGCCGACACUGACACUGAGAGACGAAAGCUAGGGGAGCGAAUGGG